rnacentral:rRNA from 1 species
GGCCUACCAUGGUGGUAACGGGUAACGGGGUGUUAGGGCACGACACCGGAGAGGGAGCCUGAGAAACGGCUACCACAUCCAAGGAUGGCAGCAGGCGCGCAAAUUACCCAAUCCCGACACGGGGAGGUAGUGACAAUAAAUAACAAUACGGGGUUCUUUCGGAUCUCGUAAUUGGAAUGAGUACAAUUUAAAUCUCUUAACGAGGAACAAUUGGAGGGCAAGUCUGGUGCCAGCAGCCGCGGUAAUUCCAGCUCCAAUAGCGUAUAUUAAAGUUGUUGCAGUUAAAAAGCUCGUAGUUGAAUUUCGAGAUCAAAUUGUUGGUCGUGCCUCGGUACGUACUGGCAUUAUUGAUUUCUCCCUUCUGAAGAACCUUGAUGUCAUUAAUUUGGUGUCUUGGGGAAUCAGGACCGUUACUUUGAAAAAAUUAGAGUGUUUAAAGCAGGCUCACGCUUGAAUACAUUAGCAUGGAAUAAUGAAAUAGGACGUUUGAUUCUAUUUUGUUGGUUUCUAGGAUCGACGUAAUGAUUAAUAGGGAUAGUUGGGGGCAUUAGUAUUCAAUUGUCAGAGGUGAAAUUCUUGGAUUUAUUGAAGACUAACUACUGCGAAAGCAUUUGCCAAGGAUGUUUUCAUUAAUCAAGAACGAAAGUUAGGGGAUCGAAGACGAUCAGAUACCGUCGUAGUCUUAACCAUAAACUAUGCCGACCAGGGAUCGGAUGAUGUUAAUUUUUUAAUGACUCAUUCGGCGCCUUACG